GGUUACUUUUCCUUUAAGAAUAAACUUUGGGUCUUCUAAAGACUUAAAGAAACUAAAUCAGGUGAGAAGAAUUUAGGAUAUUUUACCAUCUGGAGUUUCUCUGCCUCACUGGUGAUUUAAACUCAAACCUGCCAGUUUAUGCAAGAUGAUAGAAAGUACCCUGUAACAUCUGAGAGAAAAUGGAAAAAAAAAACAACAGAAGUACUUUUAAUGGAACAGAAUAAACCACUGAACAGGUACCAGAAAUUAUUAGGAGUUGGGUACAACAUAAUUAAACGAGUUAAUAUUUGUGAAGUCCUUAGAAGGUUACCUGGCAUGUUUAAAUAACUGCAUACGUGUUUGCUAUUAUUAAGUUCCUUUAAAUGUACCUUAGCCCAGAACAAAUCAGUAGUACAGCCAAGAACUACCCAACAACAACAACAAAAAACCCUUUUCCCCUAAAGCAAGUGUGAACAUCAUUGGUAAAUGCUGUCAUGGUCUCUGUAUGACUUGUUAUAGUGGUCUGAGAAACUUAAUUUCUUAAUCUCUGAGCCCUCUGAGUGUUUGAAUACCCAUUCAUUUUUGGUUUUGAGCACUCAUUCAUGAUGACUUUUAAGUGUCAGAUCAGUUUCAAUUUUUUGGAAUAAAGCAAGCUUCCUUAAAAUUCUCCA
rnacentral:lncRNA from 1 species